AUUGAACGCUGGCGGCAUGCCUUACACAUGCAAGUCGAACGGCAGCACGGGAGCAAUCCUGGUGGCGAGUGGCGAACGGGUGAGUAAUGUAUCGGAACGUGCCUUGUCGUGGGGGAUAACGUAGCGAAAGCUACGCUAAUACCGCAUACCAUCUAAGGAUGAAAGCGGGGGAUCGCAAGACCUCGCGCGACAAGAGUGGCCGAUAUCAGAUUAGGUUGUUGGUGGGGUAAAGGCCUACCAAGCCGACGAUCUGUAGCUGGUCUGAGAGGACGACCAGCCACACUGGGACUGAGACACGGCCCAGACUCCUACGGGAGGCAGCAGUGGGGAAUUUUGGACAAUGGGCGAAAGACCUGAUCCAGCAAUGCCGCGUGCGGGACGAAGGCCUC
rnacentral:rRNA from 1 species